rnacentral:rRNA from 1 species
CACGUAGGGUGCAAGCGUUGUCCGGAAUUAUUGGGCGUAAAGAGCUUGUAGGCGGUUUGUCGCGUCUGCCGUGAAAAUCCGGGGCUCAACCCCGGACUUGCGGUGGGUACGGGCAGACUAGAGUGUGGUAGGGGAGACUGGAAUUCCUGGUGUAGCGGUGAAAUGCGCAGAUAUCAGGAGGAACACCGAUGGCGAAGGCAGGUCUCUGGGCCACUACUGACGCUGAGAAGCGAAAGCGUGGGGAGCGAACAGG